ACAAAAGGACAGCAAUUUGUCUGUUCCACUCCCCUAAUUUCCCAAUAAAAUCUUUUUAAAAAACUGGUGUAAAAACUUUGUGUUAAAAUUUCCCUUUCAAACUUCCACAUGACUCUUGGGAUGCGCGUCCAUUGCGCAGUGGAAGCUCAAGCCGUAGACAUCUUGGCUGACUUUGAAUUUUAGGGUUCAAGUGUGUGCAGGUGGCAGAAGACUUGGUCUACUCCCCAUGGCCUCCGAUCCAGUGAAAUGACAAAGAUUUUUUUUUUAUAUUAAGUGCAGUGGUUUAAAAUGCAUCUUCUACCCAAUGAUGGAGCCUGGUUGUCCCCUUGAGUGUGGGCUGGACUUGGCGACUCGUUUCUAAUGGCUAAGAUGUGGCAGAGGUGACUGUGACAGCUGUGGUUUCCUGCUUGCUCUCCAGGGUCACUUACGGGAGGCCACCGCCAUGUCAGGACACCGGCCGCCCCACCCUGCCCACUGAGGGGAGCAGCCCCUCCAACUUCAGUGGCGCCUUCAGCUGAUGUGGCUGCUCUCCCGAGGAGCCCAGCCAAGCACGCCGAUUCCCGACUCAGAGGUGGGGCUCUUUGCUGUGAGUGACGGAGAUCCGUGUGAAGAAAGCUCAGGUGACGACAGGAGCACAUUUGGGUGACAGGCAAGAGUGUCAUCUUGUCUCUUCUGCGAGGUGGCCUUAUUCUGUGUUGCAAAUCGGACGCCUUCUCACGGCGGGGACACUGGAUUGUGUGGAGCCUGACUUGUCACCCCACUACCGGGGAGGGGCGGCGCUCUCUGCCCAGCUCUGGUCCCCAUGCUCCAGGGAGGGGUCUGUGUGACUCCACCUGGGUCGGGAGCUCCGGUGAGGGGGACAAGGCCAGAGAGCAGUCAUGGCUGCGAGGGGCUACCCCCGAGCAUCGGAGUGGCUAUGGUGUCAUCCAUAGCUGUCCCCAUGUGCCUCCAGGUCCUGCUGGCCUGAGGUGGGGACAGCUGUGGAAUUCCACCACCAUGAUUUCUAGAUUGGAGUGGCAGGGAAGUCCUAAGCGUCAUCCCCGGGGAAGGAGACCACCUGUCAUUGCUUUGUCAGAGGGGCUGUCUGUCUCCUCUGAAGCCCUGGGGAGAAUGGCUUUCGGACAGUCCGGGGAGGCGUGGGACAGUCCGGCUCAGAGGGACAGGUCCGCCUUCACAGUGUCUGUGGGGCGAGGCUCCUGCACUUGGUGGGAAGGGCCAGCUCAGGAUGGCAUGUGAACUGGGGGUGCAGCCCCUCACAACGGGUCGCAGCAUGGCUGAUGGCUUCGACUGGGGAGGGGCCAGCUGCUCCUGGUGUCCAGUGCCAUCCUGACUGGCCAGCUCCCACGUCCCAGGUGGCAUGGGCAGCUGACCGUGCCUUCUCAGUUCUGGAGGCACAAGUCUGACGGCAGGAGGCCAGCGUGGGCGCAUGCUGGUGAGGAUGGACUUCCUGGCGUGCGGACGGCACUGUCUCCGUCCUCUCACAGGGCAGAGGCACAGCGAGCUCUGGCGUCCCAUCGUCACGGCUCAUUUAACCUCAUCACCCCAAAGGCCCAGCUCCUAACACCCGCCCGCUGGGCCUGACUGCAGCGUGUGGAUCUGGGGGACACAUCCAGUCCCCAGCGCGCUGAUAGCAGACGCUGAGCACCCCUUUGGAAAACCGAAAGUUGAGCUCUGUCUGUGCUGGUAGCACUGCUGGCCACCCCAGCUCUCCCCCGGCCGCCCAACAGCCCAGAACAGCCCUCGGGUGACCAGGGGGCUUCCUUCCGGACACCGCAGGGCAGGGCGAGCCUCACUCUUCCUUGACAGGCCCCGCCCAUCCGUGCUGUCAGGGCCCCGAAUCCUGUCGACAGUGUGGGACAGUUGUCCAUCUUGGAAAAGGUUGCAGUGUGUGCAUGUGAGCGUGUGUGUACACGCACGUGCACCCCGGCCCUGGACCAGGAUGCAGGAAACGCCCCAGCCAGCCAUCCUACUCUGCCUGGCUGGGCCCCGAGGAGGGCAGAGCAGGAGCCUGGGGGCCGGUGGGGACGAGGGGACAGGGGCCUGCAGAGCAGAUGCCCUGGGAGCAGGCGCCCUUCUCUGCGUUUGUUUCCUGCUGGAAGUUACUGUUUUCCGCAGCAUCUCUUCCCUGCGGGGGGGUCAGGACCCUGGAGCCACCAGGCAGGCCGCCGCCGCCCAGGUCAGUGUCGGGGGCUGUGAGUGGGGACCUGGCGCUGGGGCCUUGGUUUCCCUCCUGGGAACAGGUGUGCUUUGGGGGAGCCGCCACUAGGACCUCCUGUGCCCCCUUGUCAGUACACUUCAGUGUCUAAUUACCUGUGUUAAAAACGCUUGAUUGUUUUGCACAAACUUCUGAAACCCAAGUAGGAUCUCAUGUGGGUGCUAAAGCCGCCUGCAAAAGACGUGGUAACAUCAAUACAAGUUGCUUUCGUGCCCACGUCCCCAGGCCUGCCCCAUCCUUAAAGCCCUGAUGCUCUCUGGUGGGGGGGGGGGACUCUGCUGGCACCAGACGGUAUUGAUCGCCCUGCAGAAGGACAUGGGGUGGUGGGCAAGGGCACAGGGUGACGGGCACACCCUCAGCAGGGCAGGGCCUCGGGCCGAUGGACACAUCUUGGCAUUAAUGCUGGUGGCUCGGAGCUGAGGGGAGGCUCGGCUCAGCACAUGGAAAGCACAGGGGCUUGUGCCCUCGGAUGUGAAACGUCUGCUUUGGUCCACACGUGCCUGCCACCCAGCAGGGAUGGCGGGUGAGCAGUGAUGACAACAUUCAUGGCAGCUGGGUCUCAGCGUGGGGCCUCGUUUGGAAGCGGGGUCUGCAGAUGUGGGCAGUAAGGGUGUGAGCUCAUCCUGGAUGGGGAGGCUGAGUCCGAGGCUGCUGUCCUUGGACAGGAGACGGAGGGAGUGGCCACGGGACGGCAGGGGCUGCAGGGACGCUGACCACCUACCUGAGGCUGGGGGAGGCGUGGAACCCUGCUCCCCCAGGGCCCCUGGAAGGCACAGGCCUGCCCACACUGGCCCGACCCCUGGGCUCCUGCGGUGAGCAGAAGGAUCUCUGGUUUGCAGCCCCGUCUUCUUUGCUAGGACAAAGCAGGAUACAGUCUGGCUUCCAUUUUCAAAAGAGAGUGCAGGGUUUGGACGGUCAGCUCCCCACCCGAGAUGACCCAGCAGGUGGGGGCAGGGCACCUGGCCCCUCUGUCCCCAUCCCUGAGGCCUGGCUGUCCCCAGUGGCGGGGAGGGGAUGGUGGGGGCACGAGGUGGCGCAGAGUGGCACAGGGCACGGGCACAGGCUCAGCACACAUGCAUCCAGGCCGCCCCUCCUCACCUCUGAGGCUGACCACGCGAUGUCCCUGCUGUCCCCAGCAUGGUGGGGGAGGACAGGGCCGUUACCACUCUAACCCUGUGCCCGUGACUGAGCAGAUGUGCCCUCUGCAGGGCCCAGGACAGCAGUGCACGCGGAGGGGCCACGCUCCCCGCACUCCUAGAGCGUCUAGGAGCCCCUGUUCCUGGGCAAGUGAGAACUUGGGGAAGGGGGGGCGGGGAUGGUUUCCGCCACAGCUGAGGGCCAGAAGCAGGGCGUGUCUCCGGGGGGGGGGCACCUCCGCUACCAGAAAACUGGCUCCGGGGUCUUGCUUCUCUGCCCGGGGCUGUAGGCACGCACCCUCAGCUUCGCUUUUGCCUGGAUUUUUCACCUGGACUCUGUAUCCGGUGACGUAAGUGGAGCGAGCGUCAGAGUCCCUGACUGCCACCUCUCCCUGGACCUGCUCGUUUGCUGUGUCUAAAUGCUCCUGUGUCGGGGACCCGGGCAGACUUCCCUGGGUGGCCCGUCCUCAGGACACCCGACCACUGUGGCCGGGCGGCUCCCGCGGCUUCAGCUCCUGUCCCUCCGGUCCCUGAGGACUGCUGAGGGCCCAGGAGGACGGGCUGGUCUGAGUGUCCCUGUGCCAUCACACACUCAUCUUUCCUGGCGCGGCUGCCUGGCCGGGGCCCCCGGACGGCAGGGUUGGCCUUGUCCUCUGUGCACAUACCCCUGGUGUCUGCGGGGGGCUCCUUGUGAGGCCCCCCAUGGUGCAUCAGGGCCCAUGCUUCUGCUUCCAGUCCUCAUCAGCCCCUUACAGACCCCUCUCCAAAUACAGCCACACUGCGGAUUAGGGCUGCAACCUAUGCAUGGGGGUUGAGGGGAGGGACACUGGGGAACAGCUUUCGGGCGCAGGAAGCUGGCUGGACAGGGUGGGGACAGAUGGUGCAGGAGCCAUCGGGGCAACGGGGUCAGCCUCACGGGCUUGUGGCCCCACUCUAGAGUGGGAACCCGUGGAUGGCUGGGACACGGGGCACCGUGUGUGUGCCCCGUGGGGACAAGCCAGUGAAGAAGCUGUGACAACCCUCUAUCUUCCUAAUAGGAGGGAGGCAGGUUCAGAGAAGCCCAGCUGCUCCACCAAGGCCCCAGGAUUCAGGGUGGCAGACGCCACGUUUUCAGUGCCUCUGCUUCGGUGUCACACUGGAGAGGAUGUGACAUCGUGCUGUAACUAUGGGGGCACUUGCUAUGGCCAGGUUUUCUUCCAGAAGACAGUUAGCAAACAGCCCAGGGGCCCGAGGCAGACGGUGGCCUGUUUCCGAAUGUCCUGCAAGCUCAGAAUGGUUUUUAUAGCCUUAAACAGCUGGGAAACAAACACAAGCCAAAGCAGAUACGACCGAGAUGGCACACGGCCGCAAAGCCUGAGGACUUACCAUCUGGCUCGUCACAGGGAACGCUUGCUGGCCGCCCUCCUAGGAUGCAGUCGGACAAGUCCGAGUUGGUCGCUUUCCCUGUAACCAUCAGGCCAAGACACGUGAGAAAGCGGAUGGCUCCUGAAUGGGCAAGAGACACUUCAUUAUCAGGAUUAUAAUAAUGGUUGGUAAGAAUCAUCUCAUGGCUUUUUAACGGGCAGAUCUUUACAGACGCCCAGCGGGGACUGGGGAGGAGCAUGGCUGGGCUUCCCGGGGCGUCUGGAAUUCCCUGAGUGCUGCUAGGAGCACGUGCUCGAGGCCCCACCCGGGAGCCGUGUUUCUUUUUAUUCAAGAGGUGUUUGGCGACUGAAGGUGGAUGUGCCACGGCUGGAGCUGGGUCUGCCCUUCAGAGGCUCUGGGGCUCCCUGGAGAUGCAGACACUGACAGAUGUUCGUUCUAUACAGAGGAGGCAGCUCUGGGAGACACAGCAGCCCAGAGCGACUCACUGGAGAGGGUGCAGUCUGAGCCCGGCUCAGGACUGCAAGAAAUGGCCACACUUCUAUUCUUUAAUAGAAUUAAAUCCAUUUUUUAAAAAAGAUUUUUAUUGGGGAAUUGGGGGAUGGGAACAGC